UGGCUCUCGCAUCGAUGAAGAACGCAGCGAAAUGCGAUAAGUAAUGUGAAUUGCAGAAUUCAGUGAAUCAUCGAAUCUUUGAACGCACCUUGCGCUCCUUGGUAUUCCGAGGAGCAUGCCUGUUUGAGUGUCGUGAAAUCAUCAACCUGUAAGCCUUUGUGGCUUGUAGGCUUGGACUUGGAGGCUUGCUGGCCCUAGUGGUUGGCUCCUCUUAAAUGCAUUAGCUUGAUUCCUUGCGGAUCGGCUCUCGGUGUGAUAAUUGUCUACGCCGUGACCGUGAAGCGUUUGGCAGGCUUCUAACCGUCUCUUUAGAGACAGCUUUAUGACCUCUGACCUCAAAUCAGGUAGGACUACCCGCUGA
rnacentral:misc_RNA from 1 species